GGGGUUAUAGUUUAAUUGGUAGAACGAUUGCUUUGCAAGCACUAAAUUUAGGUUCAAGUCCUGAUAACUCCA
rfam:Pichia kudriavzevii strain SD108 scaffold00057, whole genome shotgun sequence.